GUGGCUUGCUGAGGCUGGCCAAGCUCAUGCUAUAGCUGAGUGACGUGUGUGCUUCUCUGCGGGAGUGUGCCCUGCACCUGGCUUUACUCUCCCAGGGAUGUGCAGAGAGCGAAUCCGGAGCCCUGGCUUGUGUGUGUGUGUGUCACAUCUCAGCUCCUCUGCUCACUCCUUCCGCACAUAUUCUCACAUCAGCAUCUUCUUAGGAUACAGGCUGCAGCAGUAGCAGCAUCAACCAUAUGCUGGGGCUCCGCUCUCUCUUACUUAAGGAUUGCUGACUUCCCAGACAUAAGAACUUCAUUGUACACCUGAACAUUCGAGAGGAUGGCGCUUUGAAAACCUUCUUUAACAAGGAUGACUUUUAAAUAGCACAUACCUAGAUAAAUGAAAACUGAUUUCUGGCUAUCUUUAUUAGAUGAGGAGGGUUGUCUGCAUGUAUUGAAACACACAAAGGUGUCAGUGGCCCUGACUGUUGGAACCAAAUAAUGCAGAGCAGAUUUCUGAAAUCAAAAUCCUGCUAGAGAGAGUGAAGAUAUAUCCUGCCAUUAUUGGAAACCUAGACUCUUUCUUUAAUGGGUAAGUCCACCCAAAUCUCACCAUGUUUUCUACUAGGAUCUGCAUACAGUAUGUCUAGUAUUCGGUACAUAGGAUGAGUGAUAUUUUAAAACAAAAUAUGUUGAAACAAGAGCAAUAAACUCAAAUGGGAACAGCUCAUCUUUAACGUCU